GACGGAGGAUGCAAGUGUUAUCCGGAAUCACUGGGCGUAAAGCGUCUGUAGGUGGUCAAAUAAGUCAACUGUUAAAUCUUGGGGCUCAACCUCAAAAUCGCAGUCGAAACUAUUAGACUAGAGUAUAGUAGGGGUAAAGGGAAUUUCCAGUGGAGCGGUGAAAUGCGUAGAGAUUGGAAGGAACACCGAUGGCGAAGGCACUUUACUGGGCUAUUACUAACACUCAGAGACGAAAGCUAGGGUAGCAAAUGGG
rnacentral:rRNA from 1 species